GGCCAAGUGGUGCAACUGGUAGACACGCGACGCUCAGAACGUCGUGCCCAUUACGGGCUUGGGAGUUCGAAUCUCCCCUUGGUCA
rnacentral:tRNA from 1 species